UACGUAGGUGGCAAGCGAUACUCGGAAUCACUAGGCGUAAAGCGCAGGUAGGCGGUUUGGUAAGUCUUUUGUGAAAGCUCCCGGCUCAACUGGGAGAGGUCAAGGGAAACUACCGGACUAGAGUGUGGUAGGGGAUACUGGAAUUCCUGGUGUAGCGGUGAAAUGCGUAGAUAUCAGGAGGAACACCGGUGGUGUAGACGGCUCUCUGGACCGUAACUGACGCUGAGGCACGAAAGCGUGGGUAGCAAACAGG
rnacentral:rRNA from 1 species